UUAGAUUUUCUUCAUUUUCUUCUGGAAUUUUUCUCGAAUUCUUGUUAUUGAAGAUUGAUGGAGAUGAUAUGAAGAUGAAAAAGAGGAUAAG
rnacentral:pre_miRNA from 1 species